rnacentral:rRNA from 1 species
CUACGGGGUGCACCAGUGGGGAAUAUUGGACAAUGGGCGAAAGCCUGAACCAGCAAUGCCGCGUGAGUGAUGAAGGCCUUCGGGUUGUAAAGCCCUGUCAGAGGGAACGAAAAAACUGCGUAACGAGCAGUCUUGACGGUACCCUCAAAGGAAGCACCGGCUAACUCUGUGCCAGCAGCCGCGGUAAUACAGAGGGUGCAAGCGUUGUUCGGAACUACUGGGCGUAAAGCGCAUGUAGGCGGCUUAUUAAGUCGGAUGUGAUAUCCCUUGGCUUAACCGAGGAAAUGCAUCCGAUACUGGUAAGCUUGAGUGUCGGAGGGGAUGGUAGAAUUCCUGGUGUAGAGGUGAAAUUCGUAGAUAUCAGGAGGAAUACCUGUGGCGAAGGCGGCCAUCUGGAAGACAACUGACGCUGAGAUGCGAAAGCGUGGAUAGCAAACAGGAUUAGAUACCCUUGUAGUC